AAGACACUAGUAAAACAUUAUUACACUGCCUUGUCGAGGCAGAAUUGCGGGUUUAAUUCCCACGUGUCUUA
rnacentral:tRNA from 1 species